UACGUAGGGACCAAGCGUUGUUCGGAAUUACUGGGCGUAAAGGGUUUGUAGGUGGCCUGCUAAGUCAGACGUGAAAUCCCUCAGCCUAACUGGGGAACUGCGUCUGAUACUGGCGGGCUUGAGGACAGGAGAGGAACGCGGAAUUCCAGGUGUAGCGGUGAAAUGCGUAGAUAUCUGGAGGAACACCGGUGGCGAAGGCGGCGUUCUGGACUGUUUCUGACACUGAAAAACGAAAGCCAGGGGAGCAAACGGG
rnacentral:rRNA from 1 species